UGCCCCUGUCCCUGCUGCCCCUGCUGCUGGUGAUGUUGCCGGUGGUGGCGUCGAUUGCGAGCAACCUGAGGAGUUGGCGGUGGUGUGGGCGGCUGGGAAGCUGCGCUCAAUAUUCACGCUGCUCGUUGAGUGUGAGGAGGACGACCAUGUGAGACCACGGGUGGGGCGCAUGGGGGGACAAGGAUAUGUGUCUGUGUGUGUAGGUCGACUCAGCCUCAAAUGUGUAAACAUCGCUGCUAGGGAGACAAAGGGCGAGGUGUUGGCCACCGACCCCCUCGUGUGCCGUGCCGGCCUUUACAGGUGCUACUCACUAACAGCACUUGCCCCUACAGUCUGUGAAGGCUACACGGGGGAUCUUUGUGCACGGCACGGGCUAGAGAAGAGAUGGAGUGAUGUGGUACCGGAGAACGUGGAGCUGAGUGGACUUGCCAACGACUGGUACCAGCGUUGUCAAGAUCGGCCUCAGUGGUGGAGGCUCGUGAAGGACGCUACUGGGCAGUUGGAGGCAGUCGCCCUCCAACAACAACGGAGGGCGGAGGAGCGACGCUCACAACAACGAGCGGAGCGCCGGGUGCCUAAAGCACAGCAAGUUGGCACAGUAGGGGGCACAGGUGGUGCAUCAACCAGUCGUCUCGGUCAUCUCAGUCAGUUGACCCGUGGCACCUGGGUUUGCCCCUUGACCUCCUGCCAGUGGGCGUUUUUGACACUUCACGUGGCCUCAAGGUGCACAUGGUCUGGCGAAUGGCAGUUGUUGUUGUUUGUGUAUCUCCUCACCUCCCCAUGCCCCCACAGGUGCUUGCGUGUGCAUGCGAGGUGUUGCAAAUCCUCAGCUCCAGCCAUGCUGGCGCAUUGGCAUUUAACAACAAUGGAAGCCUCGCGGCCUUAGCCAGCCUGCUGGGACGCACUCACAACCCUCACACCCUGGAGAAGAUCACCGGCACGCUGUGGAACCUGUCGUGCCACGAGUCUCUGAGGGCUGCGCUGGUGGAGCUUUGCCUCCCGGCACUGGUGGAGCACGUGCUGGUGCCAGAGAGCGGCUGGAGGAGCAAUUUUGGAGACUCACCCGCCUCACCCUCCCCACCCGGCUCGUCCGCCUCGCCUUCCGCGGCGUUCUGCAACGCCUUGACGUGCCUGCGGGUGGCGGAUCCCGCCGGCGAGCCGGAGCCCACGGCACCUCCUCC